CCUACGGGCGGCAGCAGUGAGGAAUAUUGGUCAAUGGACGCAAGUCUGAACCAGCCAUGCCGCGUGCAGGAAGACGGCUCUAUGAGUUGUAAACUGCUUUUGUACGAGGGUAAACGCAGAUACGCGUAUCUGUCUGAAAGUAUCGUACGAAUAAGGAUCGGCUAACUCCGUGCCAGCAGCCGCGGUAAUACGGAGGAUUCAAGCGUUAUCCGGAUUUAUUGGGGUUAAAGGGUGCGUAGGCGGGGCGACAAGUCGGCGGUCAAAUGUCGGGGCUCAACCCCGGCCUGCCGUCGAAACUGCCGUCCUUGAGGGGGCGAAAGGCGCGCGGAAUGCGGGGUGUAGCGGUGAAAUGCAUAGAUAUCACGCAGAACCCCGAUUGCGAAGGCAGCGCGCCGGCGCCCGACUGACGCUGAGGCACGAAAGCGUGGGUAUCGAACAGGAUUAGAUACCCCUGUAGUC
rnacentral:rRNA from 1 species